AGAGUUUGAUCCUGGCUCAGGACGAACGCUGGCGGCGUGCCUAAUACAUGCAAGUAGAACGCUGAAGAGAGGAGCUUGCUCUUCUUGGAUGAGUUGCGAACGGGUGAGUAACGCGUAGGUAACCUGCCUUGUAGCGGGGGAUAACUAUUGGAAACGAUAGCUAAUACCGCAUAACAAUGGAUGACACAUGUCAUUUAUUUGAAAGGGGCAAUUGCUCCACUACAAGAUGGACCUGCGUUGUAUUAGCUAGUAGGUGAGGUAACGGCUCACCUAGGCGACGAUACAUAGCCGACCUGAGAGGGUGAUCGGCCACACUGGGACUGAGACACGGCCCAGACUCCUACGGGAGGCAGCAGUAGGGAAUCUUCGGCAAUGGGGGCAACCCUGACCGAGCAACGCCGCGUGAGUGAAGAAGGUUUUCGGAUCGUAAAGCUCUGUUGUAAGUCAAGAACGAGUGUGAGAGUGGAAAGUUCACACUGUGACGGUAGCUUACCAGAAAGGGACGGCUAACUACGUGCCAGCAGCCGCGGUAAUACGUAGGUCCCGAGCGUUGUCCGGAUUUAUUGGGCGUAAAGCGAGCGCAGGCGGUUUGAUAAGUCUGAAGUUAAAGGCUGUGGCUUAACCAUAGUACGCUUUGGAAACUGUUUAACUUGAGUGCAAGAGGGGAGAGUGGAAUUCCAUGUGUAGCGGUGAAAUGCGUAGAUAUAUGGAGGAACACCGGUGGCGAAAGCGGCUCUCUGGUCUGUAACUGACGCUGAGGCUCGAAAGCGUGGGGAGCGAACAGGAUUAGAUACCCUGGUAGUCCACGCCGUAAACGAUGAGUGCUAGGUGUUGGAUCCUUUCCGGGAUUCAGUGCCGCAGCUAACGCAUUAAGCACUCCGCCUGGGGAGUACGACCGCAAGGUUGAAACUCAAAGGAAUUGACGGGGGCCCG
rnacentral:rRNA from 1 species